ACUGCACAUUAUUAAAGCUCAGGGCUGAGACCAGUUUCUGGCCAAUGAACUCCUGAGUGUCGGAAGUGUGCUAAAAUAAAUGCUGGCAGGAUUUUCGCUAACACCAGUAGAGUUAUUCUCUGUGACUGGCGUUUGAUAGUAGUCUCUGCCAUAUGC
ensembl:snoRNA SNORA62 Small nucleolar RNA SNORA62/SNORA6 family